CUAAACCAUGCACCGAAGCUGCGGCAGCGACGCUUAUGCGUUGUUGGGUAGGGGAGCGUUCUGUAAGCCUGCGAAGGUGGCCUGUGAGGGUUGCUGGAGGUAUCAGAAGUGCGAAUGCUGACAUAAGUAACGAUAAAGCGGGUGAAAAGCCCGCUCGCCGGAAGACCAAGGGUUCCUGUCCAACGUUAAUCGGGGCAGGGUGAGUCGACCCCUAAGGCGAGGCCGAAAGGCGUAGUCGAUGGGAAACGGGUUAAUAUUCCCGUACUUGGUGUUACUGCGAAGGGGGGACGGAGAAGGCUAUGUUGGCCGGGCGACGGUUGUCCCGGUUUAAGCGUGUAGGUGUGUGUUCCAGGUAAAUCCGGUUCACUUUAACACUGAGGCGUGACGACGAGGCACUACGGUGCUGAAGCAACAAAUGCCCUGCUUCCAGGAAAAGCCUCUAAGCAUCAGGUAACAUCAAAUCGUACCCCAAACCGACACAGGUGGUCAGGUAGAGAAUACCAAGGCGCUUGAGAGAACUCGGGUGAAGGAACUAGGCAAAAUGGUGCCGUAACUUCGGGAGAAGGCACGCUGACACGUAGGUGAAGUGAUUUACUCACGGAGCUGAAGUCAGUCGAAGAUACCAGCUGGCUGCAACUGUUUAUUAAAAACACAGCACUGUGCAAACACGAAAGUGGACGUAUACGGUGUGACGCCUGCCCGGUGCCGGAAGGUUAAUUGAUGGGGUCAGCGCAAGCGAAGCUCCUGAUCGAAGCCCCGGUAAACGGCGGCCGUAACUAUAACGGUCCUAAGGUAGCGAAAUUCCUUGUCGGGUAAGUUCCGACCUGCACGAAUGGCGUAAUGAUGGCCAGGCUGUCUCCACCCGAGACUCAGUGAAAUUGAACUCGCUGUGAAGAUGCAGUGUACCCGCGGCAAGACGGAAAGACCCCGUGAACCUUUACUAUAGCUUGACACUGAACAUUGAGCCUUGAUGUGUAGGAUAGGUGGGAGGCUUUGAAGUGUGGACGCCAGUCUGCAUGGAGCCGACCUUGAAAUACCACCCUUUAAUGUUUGAUGUUCUAACGUGGAUCCGUAAUCCGGGUUGCGGACAGUGUCUGGUGGGUAGUUUGACUGGGGCGGUCUCCUCCUAAAGAGUAACGGAGGAGCACGAAGGUUGGCUAAUCCUGGUCGGACAUCAGGAGGUUAGUGCAAUGGCAUAAGCCAGCUUGACUGCGAGCGUGACGGCGCGAGCAGGUGCGAAAGCAGGUCAUAGUGAUCCGGUGGUUCUGAAUGGAAGGGCCAUCGCUCAACGGAUAAAAGGUACUCCGGGGAUAACAGGCUGAUACCGCCCAAGAGUUCAUAUCGACGGCGGUGUUUGGCACCUCGAUGUCGGCUCAUCACAUCCUGGGGCUGAAGUAGGUCCCAAGGGUAUGGCUGUUCGCCAUUUAAAGUGGUACGCGAGCUGGGUUUAGAACGUCGUGAGACAGUUCGGUCCCUAUCUGCCGUGGGCGCUGGAGAACUGAGGGGGGCUGCUCCUAGUACGAGAGGACCGGAGUGGACGCAUCACUGGUGUUCGGGUUGUCAUGCCAAUGGCACUGCCCGGUAGCUAAAUGCGGAAGAGAUAAGUGCUGAAAGCAUCUAAGCACGAAACUUGCCCCGA
rnacentral:rRNA from 1 species